GUAACGCCCCGGUAGUUAAGCUACAGUAACCACACACUAAUGGUGCCAUGUCAUCCCAAUUAAAUUUCUAAACCUCACUUUGAUCCAAACCGAAUUCAAAUCCAAAUUGAAAAGAAAGUCAAAUUAUUAUUUCUGCAAACGGUAAAACAAAAAUGUUUACUGGGUUGCAAUAAUUCACUAACUAAUUUUCAUAAAUAAUCCAAUAUUAUCUGGAAUAUUAAAUUGCCCCUAGCUUAGUUAAAAGAGUGCCCAAAACAACCUUUUUAAUCCAUUUGUAUUUAAGCAAAAUUCAAAUGAGUUUAGUUAAGCUCCAAAAUUUUUGUGGCUUUCACAAAUAUUACGUAGUAAUUGUAGGGCAAAUUUCAUAUAUAAAAAAAUCAUUUGAUGGCACAACCUAAUACAAAAUAGGAUCUGAAAAUACAAAGAAAAGGGUAAAAGCAAAUUGGACCUAAACUAAGGUGCCACUGGGCCAUAAGUGGCCACACGGCCCAGCCCACCAAAACUUUCCCCUACCUCCCGCUACAGGAACAGAGGAUGUGCGUGGCGCACAUCCACGACGGCCAUGGCCGUGGAUGCCCUCCACGUCGCCUCCCUGGGAUUAUAACUACGUCGCCCACGAACCCUAGAUCGAGCCCAACCCCCCCUCUGGACCUCACAUCUCUCCUCCUCGCCUGGCUCUGCUCCACUACAGUAGCCGCCCGAGACCCCCGUUGCCGCCGCGUCGUCGUUGCCGUUCUCCGAGGCUUCCCCGAGCUGCUACAAGGUGGCCAGGAGCCUCCCCAACCUCGUCACCUUCACCUACGUGCCUCAAAUCGAGCAGGAACGCCACUUAGGCUCGUCAUCGCCACUUCCUCCAAUACACGGCCGCCACGGUCAUCUCUGUCUAUCUCCACCGUCGGUGCCUCCCGGCCUCGUCGAGCUCAUCCACGGCCUCCCCGGGGUGAGCCUCCGCCCGUUCCCCCCUUUCUGCCCCUCUCCCCGACGUUGUUUGUCGCCGGCCCAUGCCGCCCCAGGCUCCGGCCGUUGGCCGCGGUCACGGCGCGCCCUACGGCGCCUACACCUCGCACCACGGUCGCCCUAUGUGCGCCCCGCGCCGCCCCUGGCCGCGACCGGCCGCGUGCUGGCCGUCCUCUGGCCGCGCCUCGCGUGUGCGCGCCUGCUGCUGCUGCUGGCUCUAUGUACUGCCGGCGCUGCCGCUGUCUAUUGCUGUUGCGUUGCGGCUACCUGUCGCUGCUGCUUUGCCGCCGCCGCUGCUCACCCUCUGCUUGCUGCUCUUGCACUAUUGUGCUGCUUGGCCGCCGCUUGAUGCUUCGCCUUUUGCUGCUCUGCUUACCACUGCCGCUAGUUGCUGCAGCCGUCUGCUGCUGAUGCUUGGGCAUGGUCGUGCGUGUGUGCACAAGGUGCACGCCCGACUGUGUCUGUUGCCGGCUUAAUUAAUUAAAGAUAGAUUAGUUUAGGAUUAGAUUAGUGGAAUAAAAAGCCUAAUGUGCACAUGACAUGUGGCCCCACUAGUUUAAAUUACUUUAGACUAAUUAAAUUGACCCUGUGACACUUACAUAUGGGCCACACCUCUCCUUUUGACUAGUCAAAUUGACUUGGUCAAUUCGAAUUAAAAGUAAUUUAGAAAAUCUAGAAUAUUGAUAAGACUUAAAGAAAAUCAUAGAAAAUUAUCCGUAACUCGGAUGAAAAAACUUUGUACAUGAAAGUUGCUCAGAACGACGAGAAGAAUCCGGAUACGCAGCCCGUUCGUCCGCCACACAUCCCUAGCAUAGCAAACUCGCAACUUUUCUCCUCCGGUCCAUUUGUCCGAAAAUGCGAAACGCCGGGAAUACUUUCCCGGAUGUUUCCCCCUUCGCCGGUAUCACCUAAUACCACGUUAGGUCACCCCUAGCACCGCAUAUUGCCGCGUCUUGCUUUGUGUUACAUUUGAUUGCUUUGUUAUUUAUUGUGUUCCCCCUUCGUUACAUCUUUCCGGUAGACUCUGAGACUGGUGCCGAUGUCCGUGUGUUCGACUACACCGAAGAUGACCCCUCCUUGCCAGAGCAACCAGGAAAGCCCCCCCUUUGAUCACCAGAUAUCGCCUAUUCUUCUCUCUAUUGCUUGCAUUAGAGUAGUGUAGUAUGUUACUGUUCGGUUACUCCUAUUCUGUUGCAUAGCCUGUCAUUGUUGCUACAGUCAUUGAUACCUUACCCGCAAUCCUAAAUGCAUAGUAUAGGAUGCUAGUUUAUUAUCAUUUGCCCUACAUUCUUUUCAGUCUGCCUUGCUAUACUAUUGGGCCGUGAUCACUCGGGAGGUGAUCACGGGUAUAUACUAUACAUAUAUACAUACUAUACAGAUGGUGACUAAAGUCGGGUCAGCUCGUUGAGUACCCGCAAGUGAUUCCGAUGUGGGGGCUGGAAGGACAGGUGGCUCCAUCCCGGUAGAGGUGGGCCUGGGUUCCUGACGGCCCCCGACUGUUACUUUGUGGCGGAGCGACAGGGCAGGUUGCGACCACCUAGGAGAGAGGUGGGCCUGGCCCUAUUCGGCGUUCGCGGUUACUUAACACGCUUAACGAGAUCUUGGUAUUUGAUCUGAGUCUGGCUACUGGCCUAUACGCACUAACCAACUACGCAGGAACAGUUAUGGGCACUCGGCGUCGUGGUAUCAGCCGAAGCCUUUGUGACGUCAGCGACUGAGCGGCGCGCGCCGGGUUGGACUACGUUAACACAACUUCCUUUGUAAUGGAGGUUGCUAGGUCUGCUUCCGGCCGCGUACGCAACGUGAAGGUGUGCCAUGGGCGAUGGGCCCAGACCCCUGCGCGCAUAGGAUUUAGACCGGCGUGCUGAUCUCUCUGUUGUGCCUAGGUGGGGCUGCGAUGUGUUGAUCUUCUGAGGCCGGGCAUGACCCAGGAAAGUGUGUCCGGCCAAAUGGGAUCGAGCGUGUUGGGUUAUGUGGUGCACCCCUGCAGGGAAGUUUAUCUACUCGAAUAGCCGUGUCCCUCGGUAAAAGGACGACCCGGAGUUGUACCUUGACCUUAUGACAACUAGAACCGGAUACUUAAUAAAACACACCCUUCCAAGUUCCACAGACAACUCGGUGAUUGCUUUUCCAUAGGGCGACGAGGGGAGGAUCGCCGGGUAGGAUUAUGCUAUGCGAUGCUACUUGGAGGUCUUCAAUCUACUCUCUUCUACACGCUGCAAGAUGGAGGUGGCCAGAAGCAUAGUCUUCGACAGGAUUAGCUAUCCCCCUCUUAUUCUGGCAUUUUGCAGUUCAGUCAACCGAUAUGGCCCUUUACACAUAUACCCAUGCAUAUGUAGUGUAGCUCCUUGCUUGCGAGUACUUUGGAUGAGUACUCACGGUUGCUUUUCUCCCUCUUUUCCCCUUUCCCUUCUACCUGGUUGUCGCAACCAGAUGCUCGAGCCCUGGAGCCAGACGCCACCGUCGAUGACGACUACUACACUGGAGGUGCCUACUACUACGUGCAGGCUGCUGACGACGACCAUGAGUAGUUUAGGAGGAUCCCAGGCAGGAGGCCUGCGCCUCUUUCGAUUUGUAUCCCAGUUUGUGCUAGCCUUCUUAAGGCAAACUUGUUUAACUUAUGUCUGUACUCAGAUAUUGUUGCUUCCGCUGACUCGUCUAUGAUUGAGCACUUGUAUUCGAGCCCUCGAGGCCGCUGGCUUGUAUUAUGAUGCUUGUAUGACUUAUUUUAUUUGUAGAGUUGUGUUGUGAUAUCUUCCCGUGAGUCCCUGAUCUUGAUUGUACACGUUUGCGUGUAUGAUUAGUGUACGAUUGAAUCGGGGCGUCACAAGUUGGUAUCAGAGCCGACUGCCUGUAGGAAUCCCCUUUCCAACUCCUUGGCCGAAGUUGAGUCUAGAAGCCGAAAACUGUUUUGUUAACUUGGCUGUGUGGCUUACGGGCCCACGUCGCCAUUGGGUGGUAUUAGGAUCUUUUACUCCUCGACCUUUACUUCGGGACUCUGAUCUCUCCUAUAUUCGGGUUAAAUUAUUUUAAUAACACCGACUCUAGGUUCUCGUAACUACUUCCUCCCAGAGACCCCUCACUCUAGAUGAUUGCUUGGAGCAUCGAAGGAUUCCAAAGAUACACUCUGAUGUUCUCUCGAGACUUUGUGCCUGUUGCUUUUGCAAUUCCCUACCAGCGAAAUAUCCCUAUGGAUAAAUACAUACACCUGUCUUUCUUACUUUUACCCCCAGUUGAUCUUGCUCUCUAUUGAUAUGAGAAUACCUUAUGUCUACUGCCUUGUAGUUCUUUACCACAUGAAUACCCCUGCAAAUAAUUACUCACACUUAUCUGAGUAUUCAUCCAUCCCCUGUUGUUCAUAUGUUUCAUAUGAUACUUUGAAAUUCUAUCCGAUCAUUCGAGAAUCCUUUUUAAAAAUAUUGCUCUACAUAUACUUGUCUGCUUGCAUUAUGGAUGCUCCCAUAGGUCUAGCAACAUUCAUUAGUCUCAUUUGACACUGUCAUUUUGAUCCUAUUGAUUCAAACAUGAGUGCGAAUGCACGCAAUCAUCGGUUGAUUCUUUUAAAAAUAUCUUUCCGGCUCACACGUCAUUUUAAACAUGAGCUGGAUCUCGACCAAUCAAUUGCCAUCGAUUGUACCCCUAAGGCUAUUCAACUUAUCCAUCCUUGAUCAGAGUGUCUGCCUCUGAUCAUUUGAUUUGGAAACCAUAAUUUCUUUCUAUUUAAGCAUCAGACUAAUCAGGUGAUUCUUGAAUCUGAUGCCUCUGCAUUCUUUCUUCCUCUGAGUGAGUAUCGAUACUCACAUCAGCUCCGUUGUGGAUCACCUGAUCAUUGUUGGAUUGUUAUCCGACAAUGUCCUUCAUAUUCAAUCACCUUGUGAGUUCUUCCCUUGAUACUAAGUGCCUUUGGUAAAUGGUAUCAUCUGCUUGGCCAACCAUGCUAUGCUUUCGAGCUUGUGUAUUUACUUUUGAAACUUGUGGUAUAGGUUACUAAGAUGCCCGAUGGGUUGAACCUAUGCCUUCCCCUAAUCCGUGAGAGCCCGAAAGUUUUCACAAGUCAUACUCUUCCGAUGUUCUACCAGAUAAAAUUCCAACAUUACAGUUUUAUCAAAGAGAGAGGUGAAUGAAAUGAUAUGCAUUAAAGAAGUGGGAGUCGACCUUGAACUUUGUGUUCAUACCCAUGAAAAUGAUGUAGGCCGUCUCGGAAGCUUCUUGCAAAAUGAUUAUCCAGCUAUAUGAUUCUUUCGGUAUUCUUGAAAUUGAUUCCUUACAGUUAUGGUUCCGACCAUGUUGUCCUGAUCUAAUAUAUCUGAUGGGAAUUCAUUCCAGUGCCUCGUCUAUUUUUGGCAAGGUUGAAGUAUCUAAUGUCAUAGGUCAAUGACCCGGUUCUACUUCUAUCAUGUUCUACCUUCGAGUAUUACCCCCUAGUAUCUCGAAGAUGUCUUGCCAUUGCACCACAUCUUAAUAACUUUGUUGAAGUAAUGUCUCUCCUUGUCGUAAUCACUCUAUGGGUUCUGGGUUGUUGUCAACCAAGGACACCGACUAGUGAAAUUAUUCCGCAAUACAAAUCAAAUACCCCUAGCAUUUUUACUAGGAAAUUCUGAACCCAAUCUGGUCAUUCCUAGACUAUCGGAUGCAUCCUGGUCUUGCUAUCUUUAACUGUGCUACCUCGUCCUUCACUGGUGCAUGAAUUCUUCAGUGUGUGAGCAUGACUUACAUCGAGCUUUCAACAUCAUGUUGCUUGUCUUGAAAGGCAACUUUGGUUCCGAGCUUGCAUCUUAUAUAUUGAUUCUAUAACUUGCCACUUCGUCAUUUCCUUUCUUGUUGUUGUUGUUGAUUGAUUGCAUCCUCUUGAAACCUCCCGGCAAAUGUGUCAGAUCACCUUCAACACUUUGACUUCUUUCGAGAUGUCAACUGUGUUCAUGAUGAGAAAUACCCUCCUUGCCCUCGAUGAUUUUUUUUAUCAUCGACAACACCCUUGACUUCCUUUCAUCACGAACUUGUCCACAUUAUGAAUACAACUUGCUCUCCAGCUAGUGUUGUGUUCUGCCUUAAAGUAUUACUGUCUUUUAUGUCGAGAAUGUUGUGGGGAUUGCUCCACCUCUUAGAAAUUCUCGGUAUGAUGAUACUUCUCACCAUCACCAUUCUUCCUUGGUCUCCGUGUUGUUUUUAACCGGGAUACCAAUAUACUAACGAUGUUGCUUGAGUUCUGUACUUCUAACAACCCUAUUGCUUUGAAGUUAACGAUCGACAGUUCGUUCUUAGACUGUUGGUUAUUGAAUCGUCACUCUAACAUUGAUCUUGCUUCCUAAGGUCAUAUUUCGGGCACACCUUUAAACUAAUGAUUGAUGGUGUAUGUUUUCCUCGAGCAUACAACAUUAUAUCAUUUGAAUUGAUAAGUGUCAUCUUCUUGUUCACAUUAUUAUGGAAAUCUAUCCAGUUGGAAUUCUCGAUGAAUUGUUGCUGAGUCCAUCAGCCACCUCCUCAUCCCCUCCUUGGUUUAGUGAUGAACUAUUGUUUCGGGAACCCACUCCCAUAGUUCAUUUCCCGAGAAUCUUGCAUUGUCAUUUCGUCGAUUUGUGUCGCAGCUUUUCUUCUCGGACAUCCUGAGUCUGAGAUACCCUGACUCCAAUCAAAUCUGAAUUUUAGUCAGAUGGCUGGGACAUAUUUCCAAGAGUUAUAACAUUGGUCUAUAUAUGACCCGGUAAGGUGAUGUCAUGCCUAGCACACCUGGCCGGAGGCUCUAUAGUUAUAGUUUUCCCUUUCAGCCAGGUUAAACACUCUUCCAUGAGGAAAUUGUAAGACUUAUUCUACCAGUUGUUCCUGAUGAAUCCUUUGUGUGUAUGCAAAGUCCGACCUUUGCUUGAAGACCAUGUCAAUGCUAUAUCGAAGCAUGUAUGUGGUACUCCGGUUUUCAAUAAGAACUUUUGAAGCCCAAUGCUAAAUGUUUCCUGCUCAAUUAUCCAAACACCAUUGUAUGGGUAAUGUCAUGAAAUUUCUCUCCUCUUAUGUAAAGGGUUUUCUACAUUAUAUCUUGUCUUGGAUAUCAUCCUCUGCUUGACUUUGGGAAGGAUAUACCCCUGAUAUAUGUGUUUAAACACAUUUUCCUUUCCGUUGUUUUGUUUAAACUUUCUUAUAAUCUACUUAACUGAGCAGUGGUAAUUCCCUGCUUAGGUAAGCACCUCGUGGUACAACUCUGCCAGUAAGACCCUAUUACUAUAAUUGAUGACAUAUCGGUAGCCACCGAUGGACGAGAACUUUGCCUAAUGGUCCGCCUCGUUCAACGAGCAGGAAAAUGGUUCUCUUUGUCCCUUGCCUUUGGUAUCGACAUUGUUGCCAACAUAACUGAUAGGCUUCCCUCUGACAUGCCUUACUAUCAUGACCGUGCAAGAUGUCACCGCCCUUCCUACUUUAACCCACAUGGUGGGCCCAUAACCCACAGUUCCAUAGGAUCAAAACCUGACUCUCCUAUACACCCCUGUUUCCAAAGUUAUUCCUCACGCUUGCCAUGUGAUCCUCAAUUCUGGUAUUAAACACAAUACUUGUUUCCGUUGCUUUGAACCCCUUUCACACUCUGUUUCAGGCAACAAACGAUUGCCUACCCGCUUGAAACUUCUCAUGGUACCUCCUUACUUUACUCUCGAUAUUUUCUUAAGUUUUAGUUCAAGAGUUACUUUCCGCCACCUUCCCCGAUGUUAGCUACCAGAUAGUCAACCUUGCAGAGGUCCGUUCUCCCGGAAUAUACCCACCCUUUAUUCUUUCAUAAGUACGAUGGAGUUCCCGAAGAAAGGAUGCCGACUUCAUCAGGAUGACCUGGAGCAGAGAAAUAAAGACAUCAACGUAAUGGAUCGACCUCUUCGAGAAGAGCAACCAAGACCGAGAAGAUCUGUUAGAAUUUCACAACCACAAAUUUCCCCCUUACACCACCUCUUAAAUCUCGGGACGAGAUUUCUUGUAGUGGAGGAGAUUUGUAAGCCCCGGUAGUUAAGCUACAGUAACCACACACUAAUGGUGCCAUGUCAUCCCAAUUAAAUUUCUAAACCUCACUUUGAUCCAAACCGAAUUCAAAUCCAAAUUGAAAAGAAAGUCAAAUUAUUAUUUCUGCAAACGGUAAAACAAAAAUGUUUGCUGGGUUGCAAUAAUUCACUAACUAAUUUUCAUAAAUAAU
rnacentral:lncRNA from 1 species